AUUGAACGCUGGCGGCAGGCCUAACACAUGCAAGUCGAGCGAGCGGCGGACGGGUGAGUAAUGUCUGGGAAACUGCCUGAUGGAGGGGGAUAACUACUGGAAACGGUAGCUAAUACCGCAUACCAUCAGAUGUGCCCAGAUGGGAUUAGCUAGUAGGUGGGGUAACGGCUCACCCAGGCGACGAUCCCUAUCUGGUCUGAGAGGAUGACCAGCAAAACGGGAACGGAGACACGGUACAGACGACUACGGGAGGAAGCAGUGGGGAAUAUUGCACAAUGGGCGAAAGCCUGAUGCAGCCAUGCCGCGUGUAUGAAGAAGGCCUUCGGGUUGUAAAGCACUUUCAGCGGGGAGGCGUUACUCGCAGAAGAAGCACCGGCUAACUCCGUGCCAGCAGCCGCGGUAAUAC
rnacentral:rRNA from 1 species